UACGUAGGGUGCGGAGCGUUGUCCGGAAUUAUUGGGCGUAAAGAGCUUGUAGGCGGUCUGUCGCGUCUGCUGUGAAAAUCCGGGGCUCAACCCCGGACUUGCAGUGGGUACGGGCAGACUAGAGUGUGGUAGGGGAGACUGGAAUUCCUGGUGUAGGCGGUGAAAUGCGCAGAUAUCGGGAAGAACACCCGUGGCGAAGGCGGCUCUCUGGGACGGUACUGACGCUGAGACGCGAAAGCGUGGG
rnacentral:rRNA from 1 species